AUGUUUAAAUUAGCGCCAUGUACCUCUUUGGGCAAUAUAUAGAGGUUAACGAGGUAGGGAGUCAGCGAAAUAUUCGGCGGAUGCUCUCUCAUAGGCUUGGAUGUGUGAAUUGCUGAAAAACCUCCGGGUAACCGGAACACAACAGCGGCAAUACCAAGAUAA
rnacentral:ncRNA from 2 species